AACUUUACCACAGGUGUCAUCGCGAAAGAUUUAAACAGAUGUGAUUGGUCAGAAUUUUGUCAUUUCAGCUGAAAUUCUGUAUUUCCAUAAAAUUACCCAAUUUUUAUAUAUCUGGAUAGCCAAUUGAUGCAGUUUAAAAAAUAUGUAUUAAGGACGCUAUACUGCUAUCACCAGUAAACACAGCAGUUUUUAUUAUUAAUCACUUCUCAUUUCUAGACUUCACCCCUCUCCACUGAAAACAUUGCUAUAUUUAAUCUAUGUAGCUGGUCAAACACUUAAUUCUGUAGCUGCCGCAUAUCGUAUUAGACUCUGGGUUUUAGUAUAUAUAUUUAUAUUCUGUGAUACUUCCUGGUGCCCAGUUAAUUACAGUUUUACAUGUCCUGGUACGUGUGACAUCUGCAUUGACCUACGCCAUCUCCCAGUGACUUCAGUUUCAUAUUUUAAUGAGGUGAUUGUUUAAUUCAUACAGGUAUAAAUUUCAACCUUUGUUUUUCUCAUAGAUAUAAAGUAUUUUGUAAGCACUGGAAUUUUUCAUUAGAUCUUAUACAGAGCAGUAUUUUACUAAAAAUCAAAAAGGGAAGACUUUUAUGUGCGCAUUUUUGUAGUUUCUGAUUUUUUUAAGAUAACUUUUCAUUGUUUAUCUGCCAAGUGAAAUGUUUUAAAUUUGCAUAUGAAUGGAUACAGAAUGUAUUUUUUGUGCUGUUUAGUGUUAGUGUGCAUUUGCAGAUUUUUAGCAUGUACUUGCACAAAAGGCUGUGCAAAGAUAUUUUAAAAUAUGAAUAUAUGAUACACUGAAGGAAAACCAUUAAUAAGAGUCAAAUGCUAUAAAAAACUUUAAUGCAAUAGAAUAAUUUUAUAAAUUGUGUCUGUGUCUGUUUGGAUUAAAUAUUGAAACCAAAAAACCAUAUUUUCACUGUUUUAUUUUCAAAUACUAUGUGGGAACUUCUGUAUGCUCCGAAUGGAAAUUUUAAGAUACAAAUUCAAUCUCAUGAAGACCUGUUCUGUCAUUCACUUAAAGAUUGGAAUCAUUAUAUUAAAAAAAAAAUCUAAUGAAUGCUUUGCAGCAAGUUCAGUCCUACUAAUUCUUGUCAAGGUGCAAAAGUAGCUGUCAGCUGAAGAACAGGAGAAGCCAUGGAUACCUGGAAGUACUUGAUAACUGAACUCUGCCUUUUUCUGUACCUGGAACAAAAUACUAUGCUGAUAUUUCUGGUAGAGCAGAGUAAGUUUAGGUACCUUGUUUGUAACAAGGCUUCUAAAUGAAGCAUAUUGGUGAACUGCACUAAAAUAAUGUCGUGAUUAUAUUUGUCAAGAAAGAAAUUGCGAAGUAUGUUUCAUAAUUAGAUUUCCUCGCCCAUAAUAAUAGCAGAUUUCUGAAACUCAGAACUGCCAAAUUAAGUCAUGAGAUAUUAUUUUAGAGGGUAAAUAAAUCUGACUUUGUAUAGA
ensembl:lncRNA